rfam:Nicotiana sylvestris Nsyl_contig33604, whole genome shotgun sequence.
UGGACAGGUUAUUGUAUUCGACUGUAUUCACGGCGUGAAUUAGGGGAAUACACUGUUUUUAAAAUGGAAAGUGAAUCAAUUAACAUAAUAGACUCCU